UACCAGACUCCUACGGGAGGCAGCAGUGGGGAAUAUUGCACAAUGGGGGAAACCCUGAUGCAGCAACGCCGCGUGAGUGAAGAAGUAUUUCGGUAUGUAAAGCCCUAUCGGCAGGGAAGAAAUUGGACGGUACCUGACUAAGAAGCCCCGGCUAACUACGUGCCAGCAGCCGCGGUAAUACGUAGGGGGCAAGCGUUAUCCGGAUUCACUGGGUGUAAAGGGAGCGUAGACGGCCAUGCAAGCCUGGAGUGAAAGCCCGGGGCCCAACCCCGGGACUGCUCUGGGAACUGUGCGGCUGGAGUGCGGGAGGGGCAGGCGGAAUUCCUGGUGUAGCGGUGAAAUGCGUAGAUAUCAGGAGGAACACCGGCGGCGAAGGCGGCCUGCUGGACCGCGACUGACGUUGAGGCUCGAAAGCGUGGGGAGCAAACAGGAUUAGAUACCCUAGUAGA
rnacentral:rRNA from 1 species